CACUGCCUACUAAUCUCGACCGGACCUCGACCGGCUCGUUUGUUAGCAAUCAACUUGGCGUGGUGUCGGUCAUGGUAGAUAGUUGGUC
rnacentral:pre_miRNA from 1 species